CAGUCGCCGCGGUAAUACGUAGGGUGCAAGCGUUGUCCGGAAUUAUUGGGCGUAAAGCGCUCGUAGGCGGUUUGUUGCGUCUGCUGUGAAAUCCCGAGGCUCAACCUCGGGCUUGCAGUGGGUACGGGCAGACUAGAGUGCGGUAGGGGAGAUUGGAAUUCCUGGUGUAGCGGUGGAAUGCGCAGAUAUCAGGAGGAACACCGAUGGCGAAGGCAGAUAUCUGGGCCGUAACUGACGCUGAGGAGCGAAAGCAUGGGGAGCGAACAGGAUUAGAUACCCCCGUAGUCCCUGUCUCUUAUAC
rnacentral:rRNA from 1 species